rnacentral:rRNA from 14 species
UUUAAGGGCACACGGUGGAUGCCUUGGCAUAUCAAGCCGAUGAAGGACGUGAGAGGCUGCGUUAUGCCUCGGGGAGUUGCCAACUAAGCGUUGAUCCGAGGAUGUCCGAAUGGGGAAACCCAGCCGCAGUGAUGUGUGGUUACCUGCCGGUGAAUAUAUAGCCGGUGUGGAGGUUGACACGGGGAAGUGAAACAUCUCAGUACCCGCAGGAAGAGAAAACAACCGUGAUUCCGUGAGUAGUGGCGAGCGAAAGCGGAUGAUGGUUAAACCGUGUGCGUGUGAUACUCGGCAGGGGUUGCGUGUGCGGGGUUGUGGGGCUGU